ACGGAAGGCAGCAGUGGGGAAUAUUGCACAAUGGGGGAAACCCUGAUGCAGCGACGCCGCGUGAGCGAUGAAGUAUUUCGGUAUGUAAAGCUCUAUCAGCAGGGAAGAAAAUGACGGUACCUGACUAAGAAGCUCCGGCUAAAUACGUGCCAGCAGCCGCGGUAAUACGUAUGGAGCAAGCGUUAUCCGGAUUUACUGGGUGUAAAGGGAGCGUAGGCGGAAGGCUAAGUCUGAUGUGAAAACCCAGGGCUCAACCUUGGGACUGCAUUGGAAACUGGUUUUCUAGAGUGGCGGAGGGGUAAGUGGAAUUCCUAGUGUAGCGGUGAAAUGCGUAGAUAUUAGGAGGAACACCAGUGGCGAAGGCGGCUUACUGGACGACAACUGACGCUGAGGCUCGAAAGCGUGGGGAGCAAACAGGAUUAGAUACCCUGGUA
rnacentral:rRNA from 1 species